CUUCUUUAAUUCUUGAGAUAUUAGUCAUCUCUAAUUCAGAUCAAUCAUAUUACUAUCCUGACAAUGAACACAAAUACCUAUCUAUAAGAAGCUAUAUAUGAACUUAAAUCUUGUAUUCUCUUGGCUCCAAUGCACACACAAUCAUAUUCCCAAACACAAAUGUUAUAUGAAAAAUUGAAGAAAGCGUAUCAUAUAUAUUACAUGUAGAAACCUAUAUAUACACCUAAUUUACUCGGUCCCUGCAAUCUUCUUCUUUAUCGACUCAAUAUCUGUUGCCAACUCUUUUCUGCUAGACUGAAAUAUAUAAAAUAUAAAAUUCCCAAAACAUCAGUAUGCAUCCCUUUUAAUUUCAACAUAAAAUGUGGCUAAACCAUACAUACUUGUAAUAUUUAAAAUUUUAAAAAAUUUACCUUGAACAGAAGGUAUCGGUACACAAACCAUCCGGUAUAUCCAAGUCCUACCAACUCAAAGAUCUUUGGAAGCUAUAGAAAACAUUAGACACCUGAUUUAGAAAAACAACAACUCAAAAACACCAUGCCAACAAGAUAUAUAUAACACAUACCAAUGGCACUGAGUUGACUGCACCAAUAAGGAUUGAAGAUAUCCAAAUUGCAACAACUGCUCCUCCUCCAUACACUAUAACUGUUGACUUGUUUUCAAGUGCAUCCCACUGUAAAGGAAACAAAUAUUGUAUCAGAAACAGAGACUGAUAAGUAAGUAGAUCAUGACAAAAGAAUUGAGUUGAGCUUAUAUAUGUUUCUUGAAUCUUCACCUUUUCCUUUAAGUCAUUGAACAAUUCAUUAGCAUCCGGAGGAGAUGAUGCAUCUUCUGAGGCCUUGAUCUUCAAUAGAGAUGACCUUCGUGAUACUAACAAGCAAUUAACAACUUACAUAUCAAAUGCUAUCCAGCUUUAUAGUACAGAGAACACACAUAUCUAAAAGAAACAACACGUGUAAUGGCUGGAACCCCAAAGUUCCGGAUUAAACUGAAUACUAGUUUCAACAUUGAUAAGAAUUUGCUUCAGAUCUAACACCAAAGGUUUCUAAUUUAGUGACCUUUUGCGAGGUUCAGUGAAGUACACUGUCUAAUGUACCUAGAAACGUAAAACAACCCAUGUUGGUUUUGAAGUUGAAAGAUUUAUUGUGUUCACUAAUUGAAUAACAGCUCACGACAAAUUUCAAAUCUACGAGGAAGUAGUUUACGUGAAGUUGUCAUUGAGAACCUCAAAAUCGAUCGAAAAUCCAGCUCACAGCCUAACUUGUAAACAAUAUGCUCGACGAAAUGCCUCAGAGAACAACAAUAGUAGCACCGACAAUAAAGUUACCUGAAAUCUGUUUGAUCGAAGUGGAAAACGAACGAGCUGGAAGGUGCGGUAACGAUGAGCAACGGACAGCGGUGGUGCUAGGAAGACGAG
rnacentral:lncRNA from 1 species